AAAAGUCCAACCUGACUCUUUGGGCCCUUCACCGGGUGCAAAGUUAAACCCACUGUGAAAAUAUCAAUUUUGCUUCGGCAGCAGGUCAAGACCAACCUCUUGCACCGUUAGCCUGCCGGUAGCACCAAACCAAACUAGUUUCCAAAAACUUGUCUGAAUUGAAUCAUUAUUGAAUGAAAUCA
rnacentral:misc_RNA from 1 species